AUUGAACGCUGGCGGCAGGCCUAACACCUGCAAGUCGAACGAGUGGCGGACGGGUGAGUAAUGUCUGAGCAACUUCCCGAUGGAGGGGGAUAACUACUGGAACCGGUAGCUAAUACCGCAUACCAUCUGAUGUGCCCAGCUGGGAUUAGCUAGUCGGUGGGGUAACGGCUCACCUCGGCGACGAUCCCUAGCUGGUCUGAGAGGAUGACCGGCCACACUGGGACUGAGACACGGUCCAGACUCCUACGGUAGGCAGCAGUGGGGAAAAUUGGAAAAUGGGCGCAAGCCUGAUGCCGCCAUGCCGCGUGUAUGAAGAAGGCCUUCGGGUGGUAAAGUACUGUCAGCGAGGAGGCGUUACUCGCAGAAGAAGCAACGGAUAACGACGGGCCAGCAGCCGCGGUAAUAC
rnacentral:rRNA from 1 species